GGCGCGCGAUACAGGGUGACAGCCCCGUACACAAAAGCGCAUGUGCUGUGAGCUCGAUGAGUAGGGCGGGACACGUGGUAUCCUGUCUGAAUAUGGGGGGACCAUCCUCCAAGGCUAAAUACUCCUGACUGACCGAUAGUGAACCAGUACCGUGAGGGAAAGGCGAAAAGAACCCCGGCGAGGGGAGUGAAAAAGAACCUGAAACCGUGUACGUACAAGCAGUGGGAGCACAGGUUUACCUGUGUGACUGCGUACCUUUUGUAUAAUGGGUCAGCGACUUAUAUUCUGUAGCAAGGUUAACCGAAUAGGGGAGCCGGAGGGAAACCGAGUCUUAAUUGGGCGUUAAGUUGCAGGGUAUAGACCCGAAACCCGGUGAUCUAGCCAUGGGCAGGUUGAAGGUUGGGUAACACUAACUGGAGGACCGAACCGACUAAUGUUGAAAAAUUAGCGGAUGACCUGUGGCUGGGGGUGAAAGGCCAAUCAAACCGGGAGAUAGCUGGUUCUCCCCGAAAGCUAUUUAGGUAGCGCCUCGUGAAUUCAUCUCCGGGGGUAGAGCACUGUUUCGGCUAGGGGGCCAUCCCGGCUUACCAACCCGAUGCAAACUGCGAAUACCGGAGAAUGUUAUCACGGGAGACACACGGCGGGUGCUAACGUCCGUCGUGAAGAGGGAAACAACCCAGACCGCCAGCUAAGGUCCCAAAGUCAUGGUUAAGUGGGAAACGAUGUGGGAAGGCCCAGACAGCCAGGAUGUUGGCUUAGAAGCAGCCAUCAUUUAAAGAAAGCGUAAUAGCUCACUGGUCGAGUCGGCCUGCGCGGAAGAUGUAACGGGGCUAAACCAU
rnacentral:rRNA from 1 species